GCAAGUCGAACGGUAGAGUUCCUUCGGGAACUUGAGAGUGGCGAACGGGUGAGUAACACGUAGAUGAUCUGCCUUGAAGUUGGGGAUAGCCCAUAGAAAUAUGGGGUAAUACCGAAUAAUAUCUUACGGUUUUGACUGUUUGAUGAAAGGGGCUUCGGCCUCGCUUUGAGAUGAGUCUGCGGCUGAUUAGCUAGUUGGUAGGGUAAUGGCUUACCAAGGCGACGAUCAGUAGCCGGCCUGAGAGGGUGACC
rnacentral:rRNA from 1 species